UACAGAGGGUGCAAGCGUUGUUCGGAAUUAUUGGGCGUAAAGCGCGUGUAGGCGGCUUUGCAAGUCGCGUGUGAAAGCCCCCCGGCUCAACUGGGGAGGGUCACGCGAUACUGAUCGACUCGAAGGCAGGAGAGGGUAGUGGAAUUCCCGGUGUAGUGGUGAAAUGCGUAGAUAUCGGGAGGAACACCAGUGGCGAAGGCGACUACCUGGCCUGUUUCUUGACGCUGAGGCGCGAAAGCUAGGGGAGCAAACGGG
rnacentral:rRNA from 1 species